CCUACGGGUGGCUGCAGUGGGGAAUAUUGGUCAAUGGACGAAACUCUGACCCAGCCACGUCGCGUGAAUGAUGACGGCCCUCCGGUUGUUAAAUUUCUUUUUAAGGGAAGUAGAAAGUGACGCUACUUCAGUUUUAAGCCUCGGCUAACUACGUGCCAGGAGUCGCGGCAAUACGGAGGCCGCGGGCGUUAUCAGGAUUGACUGGGCGUAAAGGGUGCGUAGGUGGGUUGGGAAGGUAGUAGCGAAACUUCGUGGCUCAACCUUGAAACUACAACUGAAACUGGUGGACUUGAGUUCAGGAGAGGCAAGCGGAAUGCGUGGUGUAGCGGUGAAAUGCGUAGAUAUUAGGAAGAACACCGAUUGCGAAGGCAGGUUACUAGACUGUAACUGACACUGAUGCACGAAAGCGUGGGUAGCAAACAGGAUUAGAUACCCGUGUAGUC
rnacentral:rRNA from 1 species